rnacentral:rRNA from 1 species
GAGGCUGCUUGCAGCCGAAGCGAGUGAUACCCUGCUUCCAGGAAAAGCCACUAAGCUUCAGCUACACACGACCGUACCGCAAACCGACACUGGUGCGCGAGAUGAGUAUUCUAAGGCGCUUGAGAGAACUCAGGAGGAGGAACUCGGCAAAUUGAUACCGUAACUUCGGGAGAAGGUACGCCCUAAGUAAGUGAAGUUGUACAAACGGAGCUGAACAGGGUUGCAAAAAAUCGGUGGCUGCGACUGUUUAAUAAAAACACAGCACUCUGCAAACACGAAAGUGGACGUAUAGGGUGUGACGCCUGCCCGGUGCUGGAAGACUAAAUGAUGGGGUGCAAGCUCUUGACUGAAGUCCCAGUAAACGGCGGCCGUAACUAUAGCGGUCCUAAGGUAGCGAAAUUCCUUGUCGGGUAAGUUCCGACCUGCACGAAUGGCGUAACGAUGGCCACACUGUCUCCUCCUGAGACUCAGCGAAGUUGAAAUGUUUGUGAUGAUGCAAUCUCCCCGCGGAAAGACGGAAAGACCCCAUGAACCUUUACUGUAGCUUUGUAUUGGACUUUGAACAGAUCUGUGUAGGAUAGGUGGGAGGCUUUGAAGUGAGGUCGCUAGGUCUCAUGGAGCCAACGUUGAAAUACCACCCUGGUGUGUUUGAGGUUCUAACCUAGGUCCAUUAUCUGGAUCGGGGACAGUGCAUGGUAGGCAGUUUGACUGGGGCGGUCUCCUCCCAAAGCGUAACGGAGGAGUUCGAAGGUACGCUAGUUACGGUCGGACAUCGUGACGAUAGUGCAAUGGCAUAAGCGUGCUUAACUGCGAGACUGACAAGUCGAGCAGAUGCGAAAGCAGGACAUAGCGAUCCGGUGGUUCUGUAUGGAAGGGCCAUCGCUCAACGGAUAAAAGGUACUCUGGGGAUAACAGGCUGAUACCGCCCAAGAGUUCAUAUCGACGGCGGUGUUUGGCACCUCGAUGUCGGCUCAUCUCAUCCUGGGGCUGUAGCCGGUCCCAAGGGUAUGGCUGUUCGCCAUUUAAAGAGGUACGUGAGCUGGGUUUAAAACGUCGUGAGACAGUUUGGUCCCUAUCUUCCGUGGGCGCUGCAGAUUUGAGGAAGCCUGCUCCUAGUACGAGAGGACCGGAGUGGACACACCUCUGGUGUAUCGGUUGUCACGCCAGUGGCAUUGCCGAGUAGCUAAGUGUGGAAGAGAUAACCGCUGAAAGCAUCUAAGCGGGAAACUCGUUUCAAGAUGAGAUCUGCCGGGGCCUUGAGCCCCCUAAAGAGUCGUUCAAGACCAGGACGUUGAUAGGUCAGGUGUGGAAGCG